CUUAUAGCAGAGAUGUCAAAUAAACAACCCACAUGGAGUGUGGUCUACAGAACUCCUGUGCCAGGUUAAAAGAGCUCAAGUGAUCUGACAUCCUCAGCCCUCCCUCACUUCAAUCCAAUUCACUUGCAUGUCGUGGGAUCAUCUCCCAGACGUCAUGGUCCUCUUAAGAGAAUGAAGAACAACCAACAGCAACCACCACAGAGACUACAAGGUUGUACCAUCUUGCUUGACCAAAUUGUUUUUCAAAGUGCCUAAAAGUUUGACAUUUGAAUUUAAAUAAAUUAAACUCUCUCCAAUAUUUAUAGCAGUAAUUUGCGUAGCAAACCCAGUCUAAUAGCUCAUAAAUAAAUUUGUGUCUAAUUGUUCUUAAAUCUUCAACUAAUCAUAACUGAAUGAGAUCUUUUUUUUUGGGGGGGGUUAGCAAACUUAAAAUUCUGAUUGAUUUCCCUCUUAUGGCUCUAAUAUGUAAUAAUUAAGUGGAUGGGGCUUUAGAAAGGGAAAGUAACUUUAUCCUUUUAUUCCAUUUCUGUUCCAUCUGGAUUUUUCCUAUAGUGAUGCACACUUGUAGAGAAAAAAAUUCCCUUUGACCUAUAUCAAAUAACAGAGUAAGGAAGUUAUAACUGUUAAGAGAAGCAGAUGGAGUGACGACACACAGAGUACCCCAGAAAUUUAAUGUGGUGUGUCACAGAGAAUGUGAACUUGGAUUAGAAGGAUGCUAAAGAAUUCACAACUUUGGGAUGUCUGUUUUGGUUUUGAACAUCCUCAAUGUUAGGACCAUGUGCUAGGAGCAGUGAAUUUUAAGACAACUUAGUUCUGGAUCUGAUGUAGCAGAGUUAGAUUCCGUUACAGAGAAAAUUAAAGGUCUAGGUGUGUUAAGGUCCUUUGAGCUGUCUAUAAAUGCCUCUAAACUUCAAUUAAACAAACUUAUAUAAGAUGUGUUUGCCCAUAUGAGAGAAUCCAUGAAUAGAUCUCAGGUCUAAACUACCCAAAAAAGAGAGAGUUGACCUAGGGGAAAGGUAGGGUGAGAGAGAAGGCUGGCAGGGCCCAGGAGUACCUUGAGGUUGGAUGUCAUUUUCUCCAGGCUUGCAGAGGAGUAAAAGACUAGAAUUAUGUUUAUCUGUCCACCCUAAAUAUUUCUGGCCUUGGGGUAUGAUUAUUCUUAUGAAUUUAAGCAAAACAUAUAUAAAUAGAUAUAUUUCUACAGUCCUUUUAAGGGAAGAGAUGGAUAGCCCCAAGUUUACAUCCACAGAUUUACUCACUUCCCACCCAAAAGCAACUGAGACAGAAGACCAUCAUGAUUAACAAAUGAGUAAGUCUAUUUACCAAAGUAAACUAGCAAGCAGAAAUUGGAAAACUUCUACACGUUAAAAUACAUCAAAAACCACAAAAGGGAAUGAGCUUUUUGUUGGAAGUAAGAUGAGACUUCAGCUCAAACUAAGAAAGAAACCCCAGACUUAGAUAGGGGGAAAGUCUCUUGACUUCAGAACAAAUUGGUGAUCCCAGGGAUGUUAAGGAGCCAUCUUUCCCUAUAUAUCUAUAAGUUCCAUAGGCUUUGGAUGAGUGACUCUCCUGAAACGUAUACACAAGUUCCUCUCUGAAAGAGUGACUUAAACCAUGAAUGUCUCUCUCCUCAGCUCUCCAUCCUUCACCCAUGUCUGCAACAUAGCAUCAGUAUUCUCUCUGCCAGUCCAAAGUCAUCUCUUCCAUGAUCAGAGCAGCACUCAAAAUAUCUCAGGCUUGGGUCAAAGCCUGGAUAUAUUUGCAAGGAGGAAUGGCCAGUCAUUCUUUCUUGGAUCAUCUGAAUAGUAAUUCACAGAACUAUUACACUCAAUAGUUGUUCAGAGCUUUAUCACCCUUUGUGUUAGGGCUAUAUGUUGAAAUCCACAUAAAAAAGGAAAAUGUAUUGAUUCUCAGGUCUAUCAUAAAAUGAUUUAUUAUGGAUUCUUAACAUGGAGUUCAUUAAUUUUCUUCUUUUAUUUAAAAAAAGUUUUGGAUUUAGAAUCACAAGUUAAAAUUAUAUAAUUCUAUUUAUUUGUUUUUGUGUGUGUGUAUAUGUGACUAUUGGGAUUAAGUGACUUGCCCAGGGUCACACAACUCCUAAGUCUUAAGUAUACCCAUUGCACCAUCUAGCUGCCUCUAAGUUUUUUUAGAAAAAUAUUUUGAUAGUUGCAUUUUACUAUAUUGGUUUCCUUUGCAAUUGUAUGUAUUUUAUUUCAUGCAUUUAAAAGAAUUAUGAAAAUAACUUCACAGGAUUGUUGUGAGAAUUAAAUUCAUUAAUAUUUGCAAAGUUC